CGAAGCUACCGCGGCCCCGCAGGCGUGAGGGAGGGGAGGGGGUGCGGCUGCCGGCUGCCAGCGGAGGGCUUGGCGGGGCCAUCCAGUAGGGGAGCGGGAAGGAGCUUUACGGAGCGUUUGAUUUAUCAGGAGGAAAUUCACUUAGUGUUACUUCAGCCAAGAAGAGGAACCCCAGAAGAAGCUUUAGGAGGACUCUUCAGAAGCUUGAGGCACUGUGGACUCAGCACAUGUUGCUUUGGAGAUGCCUUUGGUUCUUACCUGUGCAGUGAGAAGUUUUUAAACAUUCUUUAUGAGGCUUUGUCUUUUCAUACAUUUUUGUUUGAUAGUUUAAACUACUACUGCUUAAUCUUUACAACAGCCAUCCGCUCUCCACCCUUUCUUCCUCGCCUCCAAUAUGGUUUGUGGUGGGAACUCUGAUUUCAUUAGGAUAACAAAUUAAAAUGAAAGAGACUGUUAUAGAAUUAGAGAAUACAAA
rnacentral:lncRNA from 1 species